AAGUCGUAACAAGGUUUCCGUAGGUGAACCUGCGGAAGGAUCAUUAACACGUAUCCAACGUUAAACAACCCCGUGAACCUUCAGCCUGCUCUCGUAGCCCACGCGGCAACAGCAAUCCCGGUAAAUCAUUGACGACCAGUUUUGAUUCGGGACCUCUGUUACGAUGUGAGAAGUUACAGUUACGAUCGAGCGGUAGAGUCAGUGGCAUGGCGUCCCCAAGCAGAAUCCAGAGAAUGAAAGGAUCACUAGGGUCCCCAUGCCCCUUACCUCACCCCAUUACUAAUGACUAGCUUAGCGGUAACGCGCUGAGUAAAAAAAAACCGAACAACUGUUAACAAUGGAUAUCUUGGUUCUC
rnacentral:misc_RNA from 1 species